rnacentral:snRNA from 1 species
GGGGGACGGACUGGGAAC